rnacentral:rRNA from 1 species
GAUGAACGCUGGCGGCGUGCUUAACACAUGCAAGUCGAACGAAGAUGCCGGAGUGCUUGCACUUUGGCAGACUGAGUGGCGGACGGGUGAGUAACGCGUGGGUAACCUGCCUUAUACAGGGGGAUAACAGUUGGAAACGACUGCUAAUACCGCAUAAGCGCACGGUAUCGCAUGAUACAGUGUGAAAAACUCCGGUGGUAUAAGAUGGACCCGCGUCUGAUUAGCUUGUUGGUGAGGUAACGGCCCACCAAGGCGACGAUCAGUAGCCGGCCUGAGAGGGUGAACGGCCACAUUGGGACUGAGACACGGCCCAAACUCCUACGGGAGGCAGCAGUGGGGAAUAUUGCACAAUGGGGGAAACCCUGAUGCAGCGACGCCGCGUGAGUGAUGAAGUAUUUCGGUAUGUAAAACUCUAUCAGCAGGGAAGAUAAUGACGGUACCUGACUAAGAAGCACCGGCUAAAAUACGUG